AGACUUGAAUCUUGUAAGCCUUAACCAUUAUCCAUGAAGGCUUGAUGUCAUUUCUUGGUAAAAGAGCCUAAAGCAAUAAUCUGCUUUCAGUUUGAAACAAAGAACGUAGAAACAUAGAACGUUUCGACCAUUCUUGCCAAAAUUAGCUUGGCUUGAAAUCAAAAACUUGGAAAACAACAAAUAUUUCGUCCAAACAAUUCAAUUACUUAGCCAAUUCAAGAAUUUCGACUGAAAUUUCAAAAGAAGCCACCACAAAUUUCGUUCAACAUAUUUCACGGAAGUAGAAGAUUCAUUCCGUUCAAAUAAUUCCGGGAACAGGUGUGUUAAUGCCCUCCCUUCUUUCUUUUGGCAUGGUCCAAAUUAUACUGAAGAAAUGAGCAAAUACACAGUUUUCUAUAAAUUACUCUAUUCAUAGAAAUAGUAUGGGUGUCUAUAUUCUUGAUUCCCCAUGAGAAUUAUUAUUAUCUUCUGUUCAUAGGUCUCAGAAUAAUACGCAGUUGGAAAAGUUUUUCCGGAAGGAAUAUCGAGAUUAUUAUGUAUUUUCAUGCAUUUCACUCAUUUAUACAUGUGCAUUGACUGAUGACCAGAUGACGUUAUAUAUGCGUAUAUAUGUAAAUAUAUGUAUAUGGGAUAUGGGAAAAUGUUAUGACGUUAUAUACACAUCACCACCUGAUCAGCUGGUAUAUGAUGAUGAUGUUGCCCACAGUGGUUGAAAUAUGAUUCAAACGGCGUUAUAUAUGCGUAUAUAUGUAUAUAUAUGUAUAUGGGAUAUGAGAAUAGGUUAUGGCGUUAUAUACGCACCACCACCUGAUCAGCUGGUAUAUGUUGAUGAUGUUGACCACAGUGGCUGAGACGAUAUGAUGAGAUGCCCUUAGUGGCUUGGUAAUAUUAUGUACACCCAUACCUAUGCAUGGCGCGACAUUUAUACGCAUGUGCAUGAUAUAAUAAACAUUUCAGAAUUUACAGAGUUAUUUAGAUUUAAAGGUCUUUCUGUAUUACAUGUUUCAUCUAUGUCUUUUACGUACUUAUUUUCAUUCCUUACGUACUCAGUACAUUUUUCGUACUGACGCCCUAUUUCAGGGGGCCUGCGUUUCAUGCCCGUUGGUGCAGGUGGGUGAGAUGAAGGUCCCCCUUUUUAGGAUCCCUGAUCAGCGAGAGUUGCCN
rnacentral:lncRNA from 1 species